CAAGUCGUCAAACUGAAGAAGAAAUAAUGUUUGCAAGUCGUGGUUGCAGUUUGUUUGUGCAGCCAUCACACGUUCAACUGGAUUGAUGCAAGACCAUAACGCCACAAAAAAUGUCACCAGACAGAUAAAUCAUUUUGACAUGACAGGUGAGAGGGAUUGAGUUGUGUUUCGCUGCAGUGGAGGGGCGAGGCAAUCAGUCGUGAGUAAUGAAACAGCCCAACACUCUAACAAAGGUAAGUGAUGCUGCGCUGCCACGCUCUGCCCCAUCACGCUCAGGUGUUAAACACAGAGAGCCCUUUUUUGGUGCCAUUAGAGUUCAGGCAUCCGGUUGUAUUUUACUGCUUGGAACGCUUCUCUAAAGAAGAUGAACAGGGAAUGGCACAAGUUGAAUUUGACGCCCUAGAAAGAGUAAAAAAUAGACUUCAAAGAAAUGAGCAAAGAGUACAUUUUAGAUGAGGCUCUAGAAAUAUGGACAUAUAUUUCAGUUAGAAGCUAUUUUUAAUGAGCAAGGGGCCACAAAAUCAAACCUUUUUUUUUUUUUAUUCAGUGAUGAAGGUGGAGACAGCUGUGAACGGGAGGUAAAUUAAAGAACAGCCUGCAUAUGGCCCCCUGAGUAGAUGACCAAUCAAAAAGCACAAUUCUGAAGGCAGGGCUCAUCUCAAACAGUGUGACACAGACAUGAGAGGUUCAGGUCAUUAAUUUAUUCUGGAUGCAUGUUUUGAACAUACCCCAAAAGAGUCCCACUCGAAAUUCUAACAUUUACCCCAAACGUUGGAAGUCCACACCCCUACCAUUGAAAGUGGGCUACACAAAAUCUGUCAAUCAAACAUUCAAUGUGAGACCACAAACUUCAAUUGAAGCAUCUGAUUGGUGGUUUUUAAAAAAAACAUUGCACUAUAUAAAAAAUAUCAUGAAAGAAAUGGCAAGAACAUUUAAAAAAAAAAAAGGGAAAUAGAACAAGAAUGGGGAUUCUGACCAAUAGAUGGACUAAGUAACAGCUGUGUAUUUCUCUGUAGAAGUCUAUGGGAUUUUGGCUUCUUGGAACGCUUAGUCAAGAUCUCGUGUAUUGAAUUGUCUGAACACUAUAAAUAAAAGUCCACUCAUUUGCUUUGAUUGGCAGGUGGGUGAACCUUAUUCUGCCCCACCCCCUCUUUAAACCAAAGACUUGAUUGUAGUGAACCUCAGCUCAUUUGGUCACAUCACCUCAGGUUUUAUUUUUGCCAGUGGAUGAUUUUAGAGUUUAUUACUCCAGUUGAAUUUUUUUUUUUAAUUAACUGUCUAUUCUUAAAUUUUUUAAAUAACAGGUAGUCAGGAAAACCAGACUGCUGAGAAACUUUGUGCGAAACUUUCAUUAACCUUCUUGCAGUUUACGAUUGGAAAAUAGAAAGCUGACACUCCUCCUUUCAUCCUGUGACAGUGCAUCCUGACUCUCAUUUCUCCUCUGCCAAUCAGCACCUCGGAUGCUCUUCUUUGAAGCUGUCACAGAAAUUGGUUCAGCUCUCCUCUAAACUUCUCCACCGCAGGCCCAUUUUCCUGCUGCUUUUCAUUCUAUUUUCCUCUUUCAUUAACCUAAUCAAUCAAUGUCUGCUUUCUCUCCACCCUUCCCCUUCACCGGUCCUCUGGCCCAUUCCAAAGGGGAGCGUUCUGAAGGUGAGUCAGUGGAUUAGCGCCCAGCUGAUGUACUGUCCUCUUCCGGAUUCAACCUCUGCUGCGUCCCACCGGAUCCCACCAGCAGCUGCUUAAAGUCAGGCGGCGUGGAGUUCCAGAAAAGGGCUGCAUGGAGGCUGUUGUGAUACGUUCACAUGUGAAGGUCAUUGAGACACUCCUCAUUUCUGCAGCAGAACUAGUCCCACGUUCAAUUCUCACUUCAGCUCAAAAAAAAAGACAAAACAUCCCACAAAGGUCAUUUAAUGAAAAUUUCCUCUUAUUUUUACUCGUCUUUAUAGUUUUACUCUUAAGACAAAUUGGUAAUUUUUCAAUGAUAUGCCUGAUUUUUUUCCUGCAGGUUUAUUUGUUUUAUGUGGCGAUUUAAAGGACAGAAAUACAAAAAGCUGAGGAAGUGUAAUAAAACUGAAGGGAAAUUUGAAAGAAAAACACUUGGAAGCCUUGACACAA